AUCGAGGUUUGUUAAUAAUAAUAUACGGAAAGAGCGCGUGUAAAAUAAAAUUGAUGGUUCAUUUAUUCCGUUACAGACGAGAAGGUUGUGGAUUGACAGUGGAGCAAACGACAGAACAGCGAGUGUGAAGAUUUUGCGUUUGGUAGAGAUGCCUAUUAGGAGCUUGGUAGAGGUGGAGUCACCAAGCCCACUCAGAUACUUGAUCGGCGCCGCCGUUAUGAUGAUCGGAGUGGUGUUACCCGUCGGUUACAUGAUGUUCCGUAACAAGCGCGUUCCCUCCUCUUCCUCCUACUCCAAACAGACGUAGGAACAAGGUUUUGAUUUGAUAUAGAGAAAUGGUGGUUAUGAUGUGAGAAGCCUCCGGUUUAGUGGAUUUGAAUUUGUUUGGAGGGGGUGAUUGAUUUAACUUAGAGGCUUCAACAGAUCUACCAUCUGUUCUGUUGUAAAUGCAUUUUGUCAUCCUAAUCUUCUAAGUGUUUGUUCACUUGAUUCUGAACUCUAAUACAUGCUGCUUGUCUUUCCGUUAAGAUACUCUAUCUUGUAUUCAAUAUUGUAGCUCAACAAAAUUUCAAUGAACUUGUUUUUCUUUCAUUUAUUUA